GAUGAACGCUGACAGAAUGCUUAACACAUGCAAGUCAACUGUGGCGGACGGGUGAGUAACGCGUAAAGAACUUGCCUCACGGAUAGGGACAACAUUUGGAAACGAAUGCUAAUACCUGAUACUGUGAGAGAGCUUUGCGUCCCAUUAGCUAGUUGGAGAGGUAACGGCUCACCAAGGCGAUGAUGGGUAGCCGGCCUGAGAGGGUGAUCGGCCACAAGGGGACUGAGAAACGGCCCUGAUUCCUACGGGAGGCAGCAGUGGGGAAUACUGGAAAAUGGAGCAAAGUCUGAUCCAGCAAUUAUGGGUGCACGAUGAAGUUUUCGGAAUGUAAAGUGGUUUAAGUUGGGAAGCGGUACCAACAGAAGAAGUGACGGCCAAAUACGUGCCAGCAGCCGCGGUAAUUC
rnacentral:rRNA from 1 species